UAGAGAGAAGCCGGAGCCUGACGCUGCUGAAAAGGCAACGGGCGGCACUUUUUUUUUUAGACCCCCCUCCCUUUCUACCCCUGCUUCAUCUCUUUCUCUCUCUCCCCCCACCCCCGCCGAUCCUGCCUUAUUCAGGGGAGGGAAGGGAGGAAGAAGAGAAGGAAACAGAGAGAGAGAGAGAGAGAGAAAAGGAACCUAAGGGAAAUUCUCUUUGGCCAACACAUGCCUCGAGAGCCGUCCUUGCGAGCGGAAAGGAACAGCCGCGCAGCUGGUUUUUUUAUUUUGAAAAGAGCACAGCGCAAAAUCCCCCAACAAUCAAACACCAAGAUCUUCAUAGUUUGGGCCUUGCUCGAGGAAAAAAAAAAACCCAAAACAAUACAGGAGCUGUGAAGCUUUGCAUUUGAAGUAGCUUCUGAGCU